GCCUUCCUGUGGCUUAGUUGGUAGAGCACUGCGCUUACAAUGCAAAGGUCUUGGGUUUGAAUCCCAGGGAAAGCA